rnacentral:tRNA from 1 species
ACUUAAAUAGCUUAUAACUAGAGUGCUGCAUUGAAGCUGCAGAGGAGAUUUUUAAAAUCUUUAAGUA